rnacentral:rRNA from 1 species
CCAUACGACCGUACCGCAAACCGACACUGGUGCGCGAGAUGAGUAUUCUAAGGCGCUUGAGAGAACUCAGGAGAAGGAACUCGGCAAAUUGACACCGUAACUUCGGAAGAAGGUGUGCCCUAUUAGUGUGUAGUGAACAACGAAGCAUGAAUGGGUUGCAAAAAAUCGGUGGCUGCGACUGUUUAUUAAAAACACAGCACUCUGCAAACACGAAAGUGGACGUAUAGGGUGUGACGCCUGCCCGGUGCUGGAAGAUUAAAUGAUGGGGUGCAAGCUCUUGAUUGAAGUCCCAGUAAACGGCGGCCGUAACGAUAACGGUCCUAAGGUAGCGAAAUUCCUUGUCGGGUAAGUUCCGACCUGCACGAAUGGCGUAACGAUGGCCACACUGUCUCCUCCUGAGACUCAGCGAAGUUGAAAUGUUUGUGAUGAUGCAAUCUCCCCGCGGAAAGACGGAAAGACCCCAUGAACCUUUACUGUAGCUUUGUAUUGGACUUUGAACAGAUCUGUGUAGGAUAGGUGGGAGGCUUUGAAGCAGGGUCGCUAGAUCUUGUGGAGCCAACGUUGAAAUACCACCCUGGUGUGUUUGAGGUUCUAACCUAGGUCCAUUAUCUGGAUCGGGGACAGUGCAUGGUAGGCAGUUUGACUGGGGCGGUCUCCUCCCAAAGCGUAACGGAGGAGUUCGAAGGUACGCUAGUUACGGUCGGACAUCGUGACGAUAGUGCAAUGGCAUAAGCGUGCUUAACUGCGAGACUGACAAGUCGAGCAGAUGCGAAAGCAGGACAUAGUGAUCCGGUGGUUCUGUAUGGAAGGGCCAUCGCUCAACGGAUAAAAGGUACUCUGGGGAUAACAGGCUGAUACCGCCCAAGAGUUCAUAUCGACGGCGGUGUUUGGCACCUCGAUGUCGGCUCAUCUCAUCCUGGGGCUGUAGCCGGUCCCAAGGGUAUGGCUGUUCGCCAUUUAAAGAGGUACGUGAGCUGGGUUUAAAACGUCGUGAGACAGUUUGGUCCCUAUCUUCCGUGGGCGCUGCAGAUUUGAGGAAGCCUGCUCCUAGUACGAGAGGACCGGAGUGGACACACCUCUGGUGUAUCGGUUGUCACGCCAGUGGCAUUGCCGAGUAGCUAAGUGUGGAAGAGAUAACCGCUGAAAGCAUCUAAGCGGGAAACUCGUUUCAAGAUGAGAUCUGCCGGGGCCUUGAGCCCCCUAAAGAGUCGUUCAAGACCAGGACGUUGAUAGGUCAGGUGUGGAAGCCA